CAUGAGUGAAUCAACGGAUUAACCCUUAUUGUACGUAUUCCGGCAUACAAUGGUUAUCAACGGAGUUCGUAUAUUUAUCAAUAUCAAAUAUAUUUCACGCUUCUACCUGCAUCAGUUGGUAUCAGAGCCUUGCUACGCUCCUACGCGAUGUCUCCCCGUCAAUCAACCGUUCAGAAUGUUCAAGAUUGUCUCCAUCGUG
rnacentral:lncRNA from 1 species